CAGGAGAUAGUUUAUUUAAGAAUAUUAAUUUUGGAGAUUAAAGAUAGAGGUUUCUCUUUUCCUGA
rnacentral:tRNA from 1 species